GGUGGAGGGAGCAAGGGCUUGAGCUGAGUGGGACAAAGAUGCUUUGCACUGGUUCAGCUGAGAGGGCUUCGGGACAGGAGGGAAUGUCACUCACUGCUUUUCUGUAUCAGGAGAAGAGGAAGGUGGCUCUGGCGGUCCUCAGCAUCACAGGAGUCGAAUGUUGCAGUGUUCUCAUUCUGACUUGGGAAAAUUCCCAGUAACUGCAUCCAAGUUUUGCCUGGCUUGUACCUAGACCAAAUUUGGGAAGAUUUUCACAGGAACAGCAGAAGGCAUAUCCCAAAGGCCUCUUGCACCUGCCAAAUUUCACAACUCUGCUCAAAUCAUGGAAAAAAAGAGCUCAAAAGGUCACUGAUAUUUUUAGCCUUACUUCGUAAGGAAAUACAGCUAUGCAAUGACACUGCUGCUUGCUCCCCUUGCAUUCCCUGCUAUUACGUCGGAAUUGUUGGCCAGCCUCAGCCGAAUUUGAAAGAGGAACAGAAGACUGGAAGGUAUUAAGUUGCUACAAGCUUCAUGAAAAUAGAAACUUGGUGAAGCAGAGAUCCCAGUAACAUCGGCAACGAGAGAGAAGCAGCAGGCGGUCAGCCGUUGCUGUACAACAUAUUAAAUAUAAUUUCUUUGCUUCUGCAGUGGGUUCCCACUGAAACUACAGUGCCCUUGGGAUACGUUUUAGUUGCUUCGUAUGUUAGCACCUCAUAGUCUUUGGAGCCAGAGCCGAAGGGCUCAUGGGGAAGUGUCCAUGGCUCUUCGCUCUGUUUAUGAGAUGUAGCAGCCAGAAGAGUAACUGUAGUGAUGCCCUCAGUGCAGCUUUGCACAUGGUAUUAGGGUGGUCUCCUAUCACCCAGUGAUGAUGUCACCUGUGUAUAGUCAAAUAUUUCGGUGAGUUUGUGUUAAACGAAACGUCUUUUGUGUUCUCUAGAAUCUGAAGGCUUUGCUAGAAUAUUAGCCAAUAAUUAAAAAAAGGAUGCCUGAUAUUUGAGUAACAUAAUUUGUUUGUAUCCCUCAGUUUAAAUACGGGCUAAUUACCUUCUCAUUUUAACUUUAAUGACCUCUCACAUUUUAUGUGGCAUGUAAUAUCCUGUGAGGACAUAAAAGAUGGCACAGAAAUAUGAGGCUAUUAAGCCAAAGAUUUAUUUGUAACAUUUGAAGGAAGGAGAUUUUGUGCCUGAAAGCAAGUUCCCUAAAGAUCCUGAAUCAGCAGCAGCUCAAAGACAGCAAGACUCUGUUCUGUCCCCCAGGGAUGAGCCAAGCAAGGGCCAAUGUCCCUUGACCCUGAGGGGCAGUCUGUGCGCAGGAAGCCUCAUGGGAGGCCACGUGCUGAGGUGGAAGAUGAGUGCAGUCCUGCCUCGUUAGCGUGUGCUGUGUCUCAAAACCAGGAUUAAAGACCACUCUGAAACUAUGAGGAACCUUUAAUAGAGCAACAGGCAGGUCAACAAACAAGAGGAGGAAGAAAUCUGGAGGCAUCCAAGUGUUGAGGAAGUCCAGGCUAGCUGAUGCAAAUGCCUGUGGGUCUCUGCCAGGAUCUUCCAGAGUACUAAAUUGCAAAUAAGGCUCUUACUGGACUGAUUAACCUCAUAGGCUCUGCUACAUCAAGUAGUUUUUGCUCAGGUGCAGGUCACAAGGUGAUGCUGAUCUGCGAUAUCCUUUCUUUGUUGCCAGUUUAUCUUCCAGCAUCUGUCUCACCCACGAGCAUUAUCAGCAGUGAUAUUAGGUUUUUUUCUUAGAAGUUAUGAAAAAUAUUUGUUGCAAUGGAGACAAAAUAAAGAAGCCCUGAAGUGGACCGUGUGCAAUGCACACAAGAGGAGAUAAUUCCUAGUCACAUUUUAUUUCUAGACAUCAAGCAGCUUGUAGUUGCUUAAUUUAAUUUAAUAUUGACACAUUGAUUUCAUGCCAUUCUAGUUUCUAAGCCAAUGUUACACAGUACCAAGUCUAAGGGUUUUUAUCUUUCAGCAAAAUUUAUCAACUCAUCAAAGGCGUCCAGUUAGUUUGAGAAAAUAUAUUUAAUGUAAAACAGUGGGGAUUGGCAUCUUUUUUUAGUGACACCCUUUAGUUCUUGGAGUGCUGUGCCAGUUGUUGCAUGAUUUGACCUGUACCAUACCACAGUUGAUUUGUUUGAAUCUUAAGCCUGUCCUGCAGUGAAUCCCUGAAGCAAUUAAUGUAAGAGUUGUGUCAGCUUAUAUAGAAAUUACCUGGAUAGUUUCCAUUCUUGUAGUUUCCUCAUUUUAUUCCAUUCCUAAUCCAAAGGUAAAUGACAAAUUUUGAAAUAUCCCCUGGACUUAAAAUUUACUUUACAAGCCUAUUUUGGUUUAAUCAAAUGGUUUUCAAUAAAACAACAGGUCUGUAGUGUUUUAAUAAGAUCAGAACACUUGACUUAAGCAAAGGAAACUCUAAUUUUAUCAAAAUCAGCACAAAGGGCAUUUUAAUUUGUCUAAAAGAGGCAAUCUCUAAUAGAAAAAUGUUUGGUCGGAGCAUUUUUGAUCAGCUAUACAUAGAAAAAGUGAGGAGAAGAAUCAUAUUGAUGUUUCCUGAAUUAUUGCCUACCCAAUCCUGAUGCUGUGUAGGUGCCCUUACAUGGUGUCCACUACCUCUUGUCCCAGUUUGGUUGCAGUGCAUCCCACCAAAAGAGGAGACAGACCUGCUGUGUCUGCUGGCAGAAUUACGCAGAACUGGCAUCCUGCAGCAGGUCUGACCACCUACCUGGCACUCAGAGGAAAGAAAAGGGCCUU